ACACAGCAAAGCAACGCAGCCAGAUUCCAAUCACUCCAAAAUUGCAACCCGCCACAGCAAAUAAACCUCGAACAAAAGCGACCCUGCCGAGAUAUCGUGACAAUUCAACGCGCUGCAAACUUCUCAGGAUUGCAUUUCUAAGUCUCUCAUCUACAGCUGAUCCGGCUCGCAGGCUGCGCGUUCAGGCUUUGUCUGGGCUUCCCGCACCAGCGGCGAUUGCAUCAAGGCACCACCGACGGGCUCCCUUUCCGCCCGCGGGUCCCAGGGGUCGGCGGGACACUCUCCCAUGGAGGAGGAGGAGGAAAGGAACAAUGAGGGGCCCGGGUUGGCCACGUAACCGCCCAACUUCGCUUGUGGGAGGAGGGGGCCAGGAUGGAAUGGGAGGAGACGCAGGGUCCCGCGGCAGCCCCAGCCCAGGCGGAUGGCGGGGGCGGCAACUCCCGGAGACCCAGCCGUAAGGCAGGGCCCCGCCUAAGGGCCACAGGCCACUCAGGAGCGCCCCCUUCCCGGAGGGGCGCACCCUACAGCCUUGGAGCGGGCCCUGCGGCGCUGCGGGACUCCAGGCGUCCGGGAACCCCCACCGCCCGCCGGGGCCGCGGCGCGGGAACAAAGCCAGCACCAACGCGUGCGAGCCAGGCUCCGCGAGCCGAGGAGCAUCUCUCUCUCCCGCAGCCUCGACGUCUCUCCGCGGCGGCUCCCAGCGCCCCCACCGCCGCGGCAAACCCCCAGCCCGCCCGCGCGCGUACCUUGUUCUUAACUUCGGCGGAGAGCCCGUAGGAAGGGCCCUUGUUGAAGUGGGUCAUGGCUGUUUGGACGACUGGAAGAGUUCUAGCGGUCAGUCACCCUCGGUGUCCCUGCUCUUAGCCCCAGCGGCGGCCGCGCGGGUGAUGCACGAGCUCGCUCCCCUGCGCGGCGCCGGAGAAGCCCGAACGCCGCAGACGGACGCGGAUGAUGCUUCGAGGUUCGCUAGGACUCGAGUCCCGCGGAGGCUCCGGGUCGCUCUGGACUGGGACCGGCUGCCCUGCUCGCUGCCCGCUCCGCGGCUCCGCACGCUCUGCCCCCAGCCUGGUCUCCCCCCACCCACCCCCGGGCCUCCAGGGAUUGGCCGGCGAGCCCGACCAAUGAGCGCCGCCUCCUCCCCCCUCGCCUGCUCCAAGGCUUCCCGGCCAAUGGCAGCGCGGCGGGCGCGGCGCUCCCUCCCGCGGGGUCCCAGCCCCCGGCCCCGCCCUCACGCCACCUAGGACCUCGGCGCCCCUCCUCCCCGCUGGUCAGCGGGCUGCGACCGCCCCGCCCCGGCGCCUAGGGGCUUCUCAGCCGCCUUGGUUCUCAUCAACUCCCAGGCAUCUGUGGCGCUCCGACGGUGGAGGGGGACAGGAAGCUCCCCGAGCUGGCCCGCCGCUGACCGGCCACUCCAUCCGUCUCCUCCCGGGCUACAGCGCGCCCAGAUGUUGCGCUGGAAACCCGGGGAGCAGCCUUCGAAUCCACGUGCCAGGCCGGGGGCGGGGGGGGGAGGCCUGCGUGGACAUCUGCCAAGUCUCCCUCCCCACGCAGCUGCCGCACCUGUGGGGCUGACCUCUGCCUCGGUCAACGCUCUUUGCCAAAGUCCUGCUCAUCCUGUCUAAACUUUGAAUGCAGAGCGAAAGAAAUUGGGAAAGUGUUGUGGCACAGCCAGGUUUUGGGGGGAGGGGGUACAGCUUUUUGGGUCCUUUUCUGGAGUCCCACCAGUUGCCCUUGGCAAGCACCUUCACCGGGGGUUCAGCCAGCCCAAAAGGCUAGGUAGUUUAUUUGUUUUUAAUUAGAGGACUGCCUUGACUGAGAAGUCUACCUGCUUUGGUUUGUUUUUUAAUCUCUUUGAAUCAGCACUCUGUAUUCUUUUCCGUCCCCUUUCCUUUCUUCUGAUCUCAAAGGCAAACUGAUAGAGGAAAGGUGAGAACAGAGAGCACGCUGUCCCCUGCCUGUGUUCCUGGCACUACACUGGGCUAUAUGUCUUUGAAAGAUUAGCUCAUUCACUUUCCCAAAACUUACUCGGUAGACUUCAGAUCCGUUUUAGUGGCUUGAAGGCUGCAACUCAGAGAUUCCUAAUAAUGACAGCUAUCACUGCCUCCAGAGUGUCACCGCUUGCCUUGGUGUCUUGGGGCACAUCUAGGACAGGUUUUAGUCCUCUGGGUGUCAGUAUGUUGGUUUAUGUUUCCCAAAUACAGCUGACAUUCCAGAAGAGACUACAGGACCAGGGUCAGCCACUUGCAUGGAAAAGAGAAGCCCAAAUAGCCCAAGUUGAACCUUUCUGGGAUAGAAAUAAGGGAGUGUGGCAUAGUGUCUCAAGCACUCUAUCCCAGCACAAAGAGGAUUGCUGUGUUGGGAUAGAACCAGAGGUCUGCCUAAGCUACAGAGAAAAGAAAAAGGCACAGAAUUUCUGUCAGCUGAAAGAAUUUUUCAUCAACGCUAUAAGGUGCAAUGUGAUAGAGCAGUAACGAGUCAAAUGGGCAGAAACGUGAAGUAACUUCCAAUGAUUUACUGAUUGCUUCUGAAGGUACUCAGAAUAAUUAGGGCAUUCUUUCCGCAGAAAGAUGAUGCAGCUGACCCAGUAUGAUGAUACAAGCAGUUGGGGCUGUUUUUCCAGUCCUGUGAUAGUGGCUCUCUGUCAUCCACAAGACCAAACCCACUUUUUAGAACCAAUACUUGAGCCAGAUAUGAAGUCGAAAUUACAACCCUCACCCCCCCACCCCCAGCUCUCCUUUAGAAUCCCAAACCUCAGGGCUUCUGUUUGGCCACAGUGGGUAAGGAAUGGUGGUCAGUGUCACUUGGCUAGCCUAAAUCGUACUUGGUAGAAUGCAUGGGGGCGUUAUUCAGUUCUGUCAUCAAAGGCGUGGUUUCUAGUACUUAACAGGGUUGUCUUUAAGGACUACCGAGUUUCAAAGGUUCGUAAUGUGAAAUGAUACUGCCAGUUGAUAGUGGCAGCAGUCACAACGAUGGAAAUUUAACUCGCUGCUGGGAGUGAGUAGUGCUGUGUUCAAGAGUGAAUGUGGAGGCGGGUAUGAGGGAGCUCUCCUUCAGUCCUAGGGCCCUCGAGGUAGAGGUGUGUGGAUCACUGUGAGUUCAAGACCAGCCAGUGCUGGUCCUAAAGAAGGAAAGAGAGGGGAGGGGUGUAAAGACUUUUAGAAUUGGGUUAAGUGGGCCAAGAAAUAUCUGUGGUAAAGGUGCCGGAUGCAUAGCCUGACGACUUGAGUUUCCAGAGCCCACAUGGAGGAAGAAGAGAGCCAAUUCCAUCAAGUCAUCUCCUGACCUCCACUUGAAAGCAAAUAAGUGAAAUUUGAAAAAAUAAAAAUAAAAAUUGAGAGU
rnacentral:lncRNA from 1 species